rnacentral:rRNA from 1 species
AGCCGGGGGGUAUGAAAAGCUCCAAAGCUUGGGUACUGGGCGGCUCGCAAGGGUUGUUUGGUUCCAGGUUUACCGGUUUUAUGUGAGAGGAGGCUCUCUGCUCUUGAUUGGGCGGGGAAGUCCACUGAUCACCGUUUACUUUGAAAAAAUUAAGGUGUUCAAAGCGUGCAAGCGUUGCUCGAAUAGAUUAGCAUAGAAUAAUGGAAUAGGGCUGAGUCGCUAUUUCGUUGGUUCAGUGAUUCGGCA